rnacentral:hammerhead_ribozyme from 1 species
AUCUAGUGAAGAGUCCUAAAUAGGACGAAGUGCACAUCCUUGAU